rnacentral:lncRNA from 1 species
UCCGAUGUACAUGUAACAUGACCCAUUAUUUAAUACCAUUUCAAUUGAAUAGUGACAGGCUAACUCCUCCAUACACAAUCAGCACUGAAUUUUUCCCGCUAUAUGCCCCAAAUUCCAUAACGGCAAGGCACAUCUAGAUCGACUGAAACCACGACGAAUGCUCAUCGUUGACGCCACGUAUCUAAAAACCAGAAAAUUCAAAAUUGAAAUUAUAUUUAUGAAUUAUCGGCGAAGCAAAUACAAUCCAGUAAAUAUGGAAUGGUAUCGAAUUCAAAUUAAAUGAAAUUGAUCGCACCAAGAUUAACCAAAGAAGUAACAGCAUACCAUUAAGGUGCAAUACCAGUACAACAAAAUUGCAGUUAUACAUUACAAAAAAGAAAGAAUAUGGCAUCAUUCACUUUAUUCAGGAUUCUUUGUUGUUCAAAUUAUGGACAUUUCUGUAAAUUUCUUGUUCCCGAGCACGUUUUGCUGCAACAGCUUCAUCAUCAAGUACUCGAAUAGGUGACCAUUCCGGUAAUUUAAACCAACUAUCCUUUUCUUCUAUAAAUCUACUUACAACUGGCUUCAGUUUAAGAGCGGCGUAGUCAACUGUUGUUCCAACAGCAGCAAAAAGUAUUGAAUACCGAACAGCACCAAUUUGACCACCUAAUACAACACAAACAAAAUGGUUCAAAUCGAUAAGAAUCGAUCAUCCUAGUAGAUAAAUAUGAGUUCAUACAAAGAACUCUGGUUCCCCCUUUCGAGAAAAAAAAUUCUCUUUGUUUGGGACUUCAUUAAAAUCGAAUGAUAACCUAUUCUGCAUUGAGAUCAGUUUCACAAUCCAACCAAAAGGCAGUUGAAAGUGUUCCAAGAAAAAGAUAGUAGAAAUGGAUCCAUUGAUUGAAUUAUGCUGAGAAAUGAGAAAAAAUUUGGUUUGAGACCCAUAUUGCACCAAAAUAAUUACAUAACAGAGACGAGAAACAAAUCAGUGAAAUCAAGACAAUAUAUUUAUGCAUUUUCCAUUGUCUUCUUUAAAGCAUGUUUAUUAUGUAUUCGAGCAAAAAUACAGGACUUUCAGUGCACAGCCUUGUGUCUGCAUGGGGCAAGCAAAAUUGAUCACAAAUUUUCUAGAGUUUAACAAUAAGAAGUAUUGUUCCCGAGCAGGCAGAUGAUUUUUUAAAAUAUGUUCCAUUUUUUUCUCAUAAAUGCAGCCAACCAAAUGCAGACACUACCUUUUUCUUUCUCCUCCAAGACAAGUGAAAAUCUAGCCGGAAUGAUGGAAUGAAACCUACAUCAAUAUGGUCUUUCUUUGUUUUGCCUUAUCCUCACAACAUUCACGCUCGAGUAACGUGAGCAGAAAUCACUUACGACAAGCACUCACAACUGAAAAUUUAUUUGUAGAAGAACAGACAAAUUGACGUUUAAACUUCCUUAUUAGGUUGUGUUCAGCUACACGCAAAAGGAAGUCAACCAUGUGUAAUAUACCUUUUGCAAAGAGACAC